rnacentral:rRNA from 1 species
GAUGAACGCUGGCGGCGUGCUUAACACAUGCAAGUCGAACGAUGAAGCCCACUUGUGGGUGGAUUAGUGGCGAACGGGUGAGUAACACGUGAGUAACCUGCCCUUGACUCUGGGAUAAGCCUGGGAAACUGGGUCUAAUACCGGAUAUGACCUUCCAUCGCAUGGUGGUUGGUGGAAAGCUUUUGUGGUUUUGGAUGGACUCGCGGCCUAUCAGCUUGUUGGUGGGGUAAUGGCCUACCAAGGCGACGACGGGUAGCCGGCCUGAGAGGGUGACCGGCCACACUGGGACUGAGACACGGCCCAGACUCCUACGGGAGGCAGCAGUGGGGAAUAUUGCACAAUGGGCGGAAGCCUGAUGCAGCGACGCCGCGUGAGGGAUGACGGCCUUCGGGUUGUAAACCUCUUUCAGUAGGGAAGAAGCGAGAGUGACGGUACCUGCAGAAGAAGCGCCGGCUAACUACGUGCCAGCAGCCGCCGUAAAAC